GGAUAUUUUGGGCAGUAAUAAUUCCACUUUCUUGCUAUUCAUAUCUGUUUUCUUUUAUUACAGGCACCAAGGCUUUGUGAGCUGGUUUCCUGUGAUGUUUCUUCUAUACAAUGCUGAAUGAAUCCUGCUGAAGUCAGCCAGAUCUCUGGACAGUAGGAUUCACCACUUUGUCCAAAUUUGCUGGGAACUAAAACAAAAGAAGGAGACAUCAAUGAAGAUUGGCUUAACCUACCCACCAGGGAAGAGAAGAGCCAGAUUUUUCAUUGUUCCCCUCAACCCUUCAGCCUAGCUCUGACACCUGGUUCCUUAUUCAACAACGGCUUUUUUGUUGAGAUGGGGAGAAAGGAACAUGGUG
rnacentral:lncRNA from 1 species